rnacentral:rRNA from 1 species
AAAGUCACAACGGCAAAAGAUGAGCAUGCGUCCCAGUUAGCUUGUUGGUAAGGUAACGGCUUACCAAGGCAACGAUGGGUAGGGGUCCUGAGAGGGAGAUCCCCCACACUGGUACUGAGACACGGACCAGACUCCUACGGGAGGCAGCAGUGAGGAAUAUUGGACAAUGGGGCGCAAGCCUGGAUCCAGCCAUGCCGCGUGCAGGAUGACGGUCCUAUGGAUUGUAAACUGCUUUUGUACAGGAAGAAACACUGGUUCGUGAACCAGCUUGACGGUACUGUAAGAAUAAGGAUCGGCUAACUCCGUG